CCUACGGGUGGCAGCAGUGGGGAAUAUUGGACAAUGGGCGAAAGCCUGAUCCAGCCAUGCCGCGUGUGUGAAGAAGGCCUUCGGGUUGUAAAGCACUUUCAGUGGGGAAGAAAGCCUUGGGGCUAAUACCCUCGAGGAAGGACAUCACCCACAGAAGAAGCACCGGCUAACUACGUGCCAGCAGCCGCGGUAAUACGGAGGGUGCGAGCGUUAAUCGGAAUUACUGGGCGUAAAGCGCGCGUAGGCGGUCUGAUAAGCCGGUUGUGAAAGCCCCGGGCUCAACCUGGGAACGGCAUCCGGAACUGUCAGGCUAGAGUGCAGGAGAGGAAGGUAGAAUUCCCGGUGUAGCGGUGAAAUGCGUAGAGAUCGGGAGGAAUACCAGUGGCGAAGGCGGCCUUCUGGACUGACACUGACGCUGAGGUGCGAAAGCGUGGGUAGCAAACAGGAUUAGAUACCCUGGUGGUC
rnacentral:rRNA from 1 species